UUCCAAAGUUCGUAUUAAAUGCUGUUUUGAUGAAUGUAUGUAUUAAAUAAGAUUAAUUUGGCAUUAUAGAUCAAGAGAAACGAGAUUCAAGUCACGAUCGAGGAAAAGAAAAGAUUGUGGACUAAAUUGCAAAAUUUUUAUAUUUUGGUACCAAGUUUUGAACAAGCCAGCUCGGGAAUCGGGACGGGUCGAAGGUUCAAUCACACUAUCUAAAGGACUUUCAUCUGGGUAAAUGGCUUGUAAAACUUAAGUAUGGCUUGUAUAGCAAUAUACUUAUUUUGUGUAAAUAAUUUUAUGAUAUGGCCAUGAUUGGUUGAGAAAAUGUUUGAUAUUGAUAA